GGGGAAUUUUCCGCAAUGGGCGAAAGCCUGACGGAGCAAUACCGCGUGAGGGAGGAAGGCUCUUGGGUCGUAAACCUCUUUUCUCAGGGAAGAACACAAUGACGGUACCUGAGGAAUAAGCAUCGNNNNACUCCGUGCCAGCAGCCGCGGUAAUACGGAGGAUGCAAGCGUUAUCCGGAAUGAUUGGGCGCAAAGCNNNCGCAGGUGGCAAUGUAAGUCUGCUGUUAAAGAGUGAGGCUCAACCUCAUAAGAGCAGUGGAAACUACAUAGCUAGAGUACGUUCGGGGCAGAGGGAAUUCCUGGUGUAGCGGUGAAAUGCGUAGAGAUCAGGAAGAACACCGGUGGCGAAGGCGCUCUGCUAGGCCGUAACUGACACUGAGGGACGAAAGCUAGGGGAGCGAAUGGGAUUAGAUACCCCAGUAGUC
rnacentral:rRNA from 1 species